CAGANGUAAAAGGCUAUGGCUUAACCAUAGUUAGCAUUUGAAACUGUAUGACUGNAGUGCAGGAGAGGUAAGUGGAAUUCCUAGUGUAGCGGUGAAAUGCGUAGAUAUUAGGAGGAACACCAGUGGCGAAGGCGACUUACUGGACUGUAACUGACGCUGAGUCACGAAAGCGUGGGUAGCAAACAGGAUUAGAUACCCUGGUAGUCCACGCUGUAAACGAUGAGUGCUAGGUGUUGGCCAGCGAUGGUCAGUGCCGCAGUUAACACAAUAAGCACUCCGCCUGGGGAGUACGUACGCAAGUAUGAAACUCAAAGGAAUUGACGGGGACCCGCACAAGCAGCGGAGCAUGUGGUUUAAUUCGAAGCAACGCGAAGAACCUUACCAAGGCUUGACAUCCCCUUGACCAGUGCAGAGAUGUACUCUCUCCUUCGGGAGCAAGGGUGACAGGUGGUGCAUGGUUGUCGUCAGCUCGUGUCGUGAGAUGUUGGGUUAAGUCCCGCAACGAGCGCAACCCUUAUCCUUAGUUGCCAGCAUUUAGGUGGGCACUCUAGGGAGACUGCCGAUGAUAAAUCGGAGGAAGGUGGGGAUGACGUCAAAUCAUCAUGCCCCUUAUGUCUUGGGCUACACACGUGCUACAAUGGUCGGUACAACGGGCAGCGAAAGAGUGAUCUGGAGCAAAUCCCAAUAAACCGAUCUCAGUUCGGAUUGUAGGCUGCAACUCGCCUACAUGAAGUCGGAGUUGCUAGUAAUCGCGAAUCAGAACGUCGCGGUGAAUGCGUUCCCGGGUCUUGUACACACCGCCCGUCACACCACGGAAGUUGGUAAUACCCGAAGUCGCUGAGCUAACCGCAAGGGGGCAGGCGCCGAAGGUAGGAUUAAUGACUGGGGUGAAGUCGUAACAAGGUAACCA
rnacentral:rRNA from 1 species